AGGGGCAGCCUGAUCCAGCAUGCCGCGUGCAGGAAGAAGGCCUUCGGGUUGUAAACUGCUUUUGUCAGGGAAGAAAUCUUCUGGGCUAAUACCCCGGGAGGAUGACGGUACCUGAAGAAUAAGCACCGGCUAACUACGUGCCAGCAGCCGCGGUAAUACGUAGGGUGCGAGCGUUAAUCGGAAUUACUGGGCGUAAAGCGUGCGCAGGCGGCUUUGCAAGACAGAUGUGAAAUCCCCGGGCUCAACCUGGGAACUGCAUUUGUGACUGCAAGGCUAGAGUACGGCAGAGGGGGAUGGAAUUCCGCGUGUAGCAGUGAAAUGCGUAGAUAUGCGGAGGAACACCAAUGGCGAAGGCAAUCCCCUGGGCCUGUACUGACGCUCAUGCACGAAAGCGUGGGGAGCAAACAGGAUUAGAUACCCUGGUAGUCCACGCCCUAAACGAUGUCAACUGGUUGUUGGACGGCUUGCUGUUCAGUAACGAAGCUAACGCGUGAAGUUGACCGCCUGGGGAGUACGGCCGCAAGGUUGAAACUCAAAUGAAUUGAC
rnacentral:rRNA from 1 species